GGCCUUGGUCUCUAUGAGCUUAAAAAUCGAAAAUGGCAUAUACAAGGUACAUGUGCUCUUAGAGGGGAUGGCCUAUACGAGGGAUUGGACUGGUUAGCCAGCACUUUGAAAGAACACAAGGCCGCGGGAUUCUCUUCAAUAGGCCCGUCCUUCUGAGUGAUCAGGCUUACUAACGAACUUGAACUUCUUUUCGAGGAGCAUCACUGAACAUCUGGCUAUUUAUAAGUUGGAGGGUCAUGAUCUCGCAAUGACAGUGUUUAUCCUUCUGUUCUUAGAUCUGUGUUUUUAGUGCUUAUGGAGCAGAUGAGGCAGUUGUUUCCUUAAUCUAGUGUGAUUCUUGGUCUUUGAUUCUGUUGUAUAUUUGAAACCUGGGCCUUGCAGAUUAUGUUAACCAGACACUAUGAACGCUUCUGUUGAUACCAACUGCAGUAUACUUCCAGGUGAAUAUGGUGACUAAUCAUCUAGUCUACAGAUGUCCAAUACAAGAUUUUUUGGC
rnacentral:misc_RNA from 1 species